rnacentral:sRNA from 1 species
GACUGAGGGGCGGGGCCGCACCUGCUGCCACUGCCGGGGCUGCGCCGCCGCCGGGGCUGUUGCCGUUGCGCACCUGGCUCAGGUGAGCUGCCCCGCCCCCGCCCGGCGCGAGCCCCAGGUCCUGGCAGCAGGUGAGUGGCGGUCGCCAUCAGACCCGCGAAGCCUCUGACCUGUCCAGGUGCCCUGUCCAGCUGACUGCAAAGACAGAGAGGAGUCCUGCCCAGCUCUUGGAUCAGUCUGCUUGGCCAAGGAGCCCAGUGGAGCCGGGGGUGACCCUGGAGCCCAGCCUGCCCCGAGGAGGCCCUGGCUCAGAGCCAUGCCAGGGUCAAGGCCAACCUGUCAGAGGUGCUUGUGUCCAGUGUCCUGGGGGUCAACGUGACCAGCGCUGAGGUCUAUGGAGCCUUCACCUGCUCCAUCCAGAAUGUCAGCUCCUCCUCCUUCACUCUUCAGAGAGCUGGCCCUACAAGCCACGUGGCUGCGGUGCUGGCCUCCCUCCUGGUCCUGCUGGCCCUGCUGCUGGCCGCCCUGCUCUAUGUCAAGUGCCGUCUCAACGUGCUGCUCUGGUACCAGGACGCGUAUGGGGAGGUGGAGAUGAACGCGACUGCCCCGAGGACCGCAAGUUCGUGAACUUCAUCCUGAAGCCGCAGCUGGAGCGCCGUCGGGGCUACAAGCUUUUCCUGGACGACCGCGACCUCCUGCCGCGCGCUGAGCCCUCCGCCGACCUCUUGGUGAAUCUGAGCCGCUGCCGACGCCUCAUCGUGGUGCUUUCGGACGCCUUCCUGAGCCGGGCCUGGUGCAGCCACAGCUUCCGGUGGGUCCCGCGCGGGGUUGGGUGGGCCCCAGCUUAGCACCCACCCCCUGACGGUCCCGCCCCGCAGGGAGGGCCUGUGCCGGCUGCUGGAGCUCACCCGCAGGCCCAUCUUCAUCACCUUCGAGGGCCAAAGGCGCGACCCCGCGCACCCGGCGCUCCGCCUGCUACGCCAGCACCGCCACCUGGUGACCUUGCUGCUCUGGAGGCCCGGCUCCGUGGUGCGGAGCAGGCGUGGGAGGGUCCGGGACGAGCGGCGGGUUAGAGAUGGGCGGUGCCCGGGCUCCAGGCUGGGACCCCUCCGUGGGGAGCUCUGAGGCACCACGCUUUGUGAAUGGGCCCUCGGGGGAGGUUCCGCUGCCUGGGGCCCCGAUGGGGGGAGCCACCCUUGAGGUCCCCGGAGCCACGGAAUAGCUGUCGCAGGGCGUGGAACCCAUGGGCAGCCGCAGGUGUGCUCUUGGGGGCUAGGACGCCAGGGGCUACCGAGGUGUUCACACCUGCAAACCGCCCCAACCUGGCCCCCAGACUCCUUCCUCCGAUUUUUGGAAAGAACUGCAGCUGGCGCUGCCGCGGAAGGUGCAGUACAGGCCAGUGGAAGGAGACCCCCAGACGCAGCUGCAGGACGACAAGGACCCCAUGCUGAUUCUUCGAGGCCGAGUCCCGGAGGGCCGGGCCCUGGACUCAGAGGUGGACCCGGACCCUGAGGGCGACCUGGGUGUCCGGGGGCCUGUCUUUGGAGAGCCAUCAGCUCCACCGCACACGAGUGGGGUCUCGCUGGGAGAGAGCCGGAGCAGCGAAGUGGACGUCUCGGAUCUCGGCUCGCGAAACUACAGUGCCCGCACAGACUUCUAUUGCCUGGUGUCCAAGGAUGAUGUGUAGCUCCCACCCCAGAGUGCAGGAUCAUAGGGACAGCGGGGGCCAGGGCAGGGGCGUCGCUCCUCUGCUCAACAGGACCACAACCCCUGCCAGCAGCCCUGGGACCCUGCCAGCAGCCUUGGGAAAAGGCUGUGGCCUCAGGGCGCCUCCCAGUGCCAGAUAAUAAAGUCCUUUUGGAUUCUG